UACGGGGGGGGCAAGCGUUGUUCGGAAUUACUGGGCGUAAAGGGGUUUGUAGGUGGCUUGCUAAGUCAGACGUGAAAUCCCUCAGCUUAACUGGGGGAACUGCGUCUGAGACUGGUGAGCUUGAGUGCAGGAGAGGAACGCGGAAUUCCAGGUGUAGCGGUGAAAUGCGUAGAUAUCUGGAGGAACACCGGUGGCGAAGGCGGCGUUCUGGACUGCAACUGACACUGAGGAACGAAAGCCAGGGGAGCAAACGGG
rnacentral:rRNA from 1 species